CCAGUGAAGUCUGAGAAAAACUGCUUUAUAUUUUUCACCGACCCUUCGAGUGUGUGAUAAAUGGUGCUCACUGGGAAGCGUAGGCACUCGGUUUUUGUCUACAAAUAGCUUUUAUUUUCUGUGGCAACCAGCACUGGCUUCCCCUGGAACCAUUUCAAGCAUGACAGGACUAAAAGUGUUGAGAGGCAGACUAAUGAAAGUCCUGGAGAUGAGUUAGCAACUCUUUACGAUGCCCUGUCUCACCACACUGAAGUUAUUUCUCCACCCAGACAUCUGAUAACGUGUAUUGAUUGGCUCUGCUCAGGAGGAGGGUUCAUCAUAGGAGGGGAAAAUUGGCUGGAAUUGCGACAUUUAGAGCAAUAUAUACACUGUAAAUCACGUGAGCCUGUCUUGUAAGGUCUUUUUAGUGUCACCAACCCUGUGAAGCGCCGUCCGGCCAAACAACAGGGUGUGCUUGUUUACGUGCCUUGUGAUAUUGCUCUAAUAACAAGUCAGCACUCAGGUCAUGUCAGCAGCAGUUGCCUGGGACUCCUGUCAUCAGCGCAGGCUGUGAAUGCACCGCACCCUACUGGGUGCCACCCACCAACCUGGACUCAGGCUCACCUUUGUAUCUGUCCUGCUGAGGGGUCGCAAGACUGGAGCUCUGCAGGCACAUUUACCACCAACCACAGACAAACUCUCUUCUAUGUAAGAACAUUAAGGCCAAGUCAAAACAAUAUUGUUGAGUGAAAAAGGUCAGAGGACUCAGAAUUAAGUCAGAAUUUUGUUUGUAUUUUCUAACUGUUGUCUUAGAUACAAAAUUUUUAACUAAAUUUCAGCUGCAACCUGUGUUGAGUUUUUCAAACAUUAAUCAGGAAGUUUAAAGUUUAAAGCCAGUUUCCAGGAGGCUGGUGUUGCUGAGUAGGUUGUAGAGAUGUUGAUGGGUUUGCUGUGAGGAGGUUGUCAGUGUGGGAGGAUACUGGAUCUAUCUUCAUCUGCUGUAAUUAGAGGGUAGUAGGUGUUGGAACAAAGCUGUUCACUUUGAUCUAAGAGGAGUUCAUUGCACCUGCCUGGCCAUGGUCUCUGACACCCUGUGGUCAAUCAUUGUGACUGAACGUGCUGCCCACAGCUUUACGAUCUGAUGUACCCAUUUUAAACAGUAAAAAAAAAAAAAAAAUUAGAUCAAUGUUGAUAAUCACAAGGGUGUAGGUUUGCAUAUGGACGGUAAGAACCAGUCCCUGACGGUAUGCAACAGGUGGCAGAACCCAAUUGCAGCACCACAGCGACAAAGUUCAACUUCUUGUCUUGAGGCUUCCCGAGGCACAGGUCCAGUCCAGCAGCUUUGUUGAGCCACACCGAAGCCAGGAACAGGAGGAUCUCUGGCAUCUGCUGGAUGCGCUCACACCAGAUACCAGAGUCGACUGUGUGCAGCUGUACCACGAGGGAGGAGGCAGGGGAUGGCAUUGAGCGAGCAGAGGAGUCGAGGAACCAGCGAUGAAGAAGAAGAGUGGCAGUAAAGUGGGGAGAGGAAAGAGGGGACGACAUGCAGCGAAGGGCCCCAGGAUGGCAUCAAACCUUGGCCGCUGUGCUCUGUGCCUGCUAGGUGUGUCUGAAGAACAGAAGAACAGAUGUUAUUCCUGGUCCCUCGGUGUGCGUGUUUCUGCUGGAGAGGCUCUGGCUCGCUACAUCACAGAGCAUGGAAACUUCAUUGAUUUCUAGCUAGGGCAAGAUCAAGAGCACAUUGAGUGCAAGAGGCAGUGCGGGGAGUGAGAUUACAGUUGGCAGACACCUUCAGACAAUUAUUCAACCAAAGGACAUUGUCGGUUUGUGUGCAAAGUAAAGUGUGGUUCAAGUACUAACCUCUCUAUCUGAAGUGAAAGAUAGUGGAUGAUAGCAUGAUACAUUAAAGUUUUAAAGAGCUUUCUAUUCUUAGAUUUGGAUUUUUGUUGCUCUCUUGGAGACAGAGAGAAAACAAAGUCGAAAAGGGUCGAAAAUGACAGACCUAAACCUUAAUGUACCCAGGAAAUUCAUUUUGAGAUCCAACUGGACUAAAUCACUUUUAAAAACACACAUAACCAACGUGUUUUUACCUGAGGUUUUACAGACCUGAUCCCGGUGUAUGUCAGAGAGGAGUCUUAGGACCCGGGCUUUGGGCCUAUUUCAUAAACCCGACAAACCCGGGAAUCAAGAUUGCUACUAGAUUGCAGUUCUAAUGCUAAAAACGUUUAUCAUGUUCUUACCCAUCUUACUGUAUGUAAUAUUUAUGUGACAUUCUGUCGAGAUUAUGUCCAUCUGUUUGUGUUUAGUGUGAUCAUGCUCUCCAGCCUUUUUUCCCUGUGUUUUAUUCUCUGGUUAAUGACACUGCUUGAAUUUAUGGACUUUGUUUCUUGUGUGAUUUCCCUGAACAGACUUCUAUGCCUUCGCUGACUGCCUUCACGUGUAUGACCCCUGACCUCCUAAGUAAAGAUUUGGAUCUGA